rnacentral:misc_RNA from 1 species
GUAGGUGAACCUGCAGAAGGAUCAUUAUUGAAAUAAACCUGAUGGGUUGUUGCUGGUUCUCUAGGGAGCAUGUGCACGCCUUGUCAUCUUUAUAUCUCCACCUGUGCACCUUUUGUAGGCCUUCCAGGUCUAUGUUGCUUUUUCAUUUACCCCAAUGUAUGUUAAUAGAAUGUUGUGCAUAUAUUAAAAAUCUAUACAACUUUCAGCAACGGAUCUCUUGGCUCUC